rnacentral:rRNA from 1 species
GACGAACGCUGGCGGCGUGCCUAAUACAUGCAAGUCGAACGCUUCUUUCCUCCCGAGUGCUUGCACUCAAUUGGAAAGAGGAGUGGCGGACGGGUGAGUAACACGUGGGUAACCUACCCAUCAGAGGGGGAUAACACUCGGAAACAGGUGCUAAUACCGCAUAACAGUUUAUGCCGCAUGGCAUAAGAGUGAAAGGCGCUUUCGGGUGUCGCUGAUGGAUGGACCCGCGGUGCAUUAGCUAGUUGGUGAGGUAACGGCUCACCAAGGCCACGAUGCAUAGCCGACCUGAGAGGGUGAUCGGCCACACUGGGACUGAGACACGGCCCAGACUCCUACGGGAGGCAGCAGUAGGGAAUCUUCGGCAAUGGACGAAAGUCUGACCGAGCAACGCCGCGUGAGUGAAGAAGGUUUUCGGAUCGUAAAACUCUGUUGUUAGAGAAGAACAAGGACGUUAGUAACU